AAAUUGAAGAGUUUGAUCAUGGCUCAGAUUGAACGCUGGCGGCAGGCCUAACACAUGCAAGUCGAACGGUAACAGGAAGCAGCUUGCUGCUUCGCUGACGAGUGGCGGACGGGUGAGUAAUGUCUGGGAAACUGCCUGGUGGAGGGGGAUAACUACUGGAAACGGUGGCUAAUACCGCAUAACGUCGCAAGACCAAAGAGGGGGACCUUCGGGCCUCUUGCCAUCAGAUGUGCCCAGAUGGGAUUAGCUUGUUGGUGAGGUAACGGCUCACCAAGGCGACGAUCCCUAGCUGGUCUGAGAGGAUGACCAGCCACACUGGAACUGAGACACGGUCCAGACUCCUACGGGAGGCAGCAGUGGGGAAUAUUGCACAAUGGGCGCAAGCCUGAUGCAGCCAUGCCGCGUGUAUGAAGAAGGCCUUCGGGUUGUAAAGUACUUUCAGCGGGGAGGAAGGUGUUGUGGUUAAUAACCGCAGC
rnacentral:rRNA from 1 species